rnacentral:tRNA from 1 species
GCAUUAGAAGUUCAUUGGUAGAAUUCCUAUCUUCCACGAGGGAGACCCAGGUUUGAUUCCUGUCCAAUGCA